UACGGAGGGUGCGAGCGUUGUUCGGAAUCACUGGGCGUAAAGGGCGUGUAGGCGGUCCGCUAAGUCUGAUGUGAAAGCCCGGGGCUCACCCCCGGAAGUGCAUUGGAAACUGGCGGACUCGAGUCCCGGAGAGGAGAGUGGAAUUCCUGGUGUAGCGGUGAAAUGCGUAGAUAUCAGGAGGAACACCUGCGGCGAAGGCGGGUUGCUGGGCUGACACUGACGCUGAUGCGCGAAAGCUAGGGGAGCGAACGGG
rnacentral:rRNA from 1 species